GAUGAACGCUAGCGGCAGGCUUAAUACAUGCAAGUCGAGGGACAGCACAGGUAGCAAUACUGGGUGGUAACCGGCAAACGGGUGCGGAACACGUACACAACCUUCCUUUAAGUGGGGGAUAGCCCAGAGAAAUUUGGAUUAAUACCCCGUAAUAUAGUUGAAUGGCAUCAUUUGAUUAUUAUAGCUACGGCGCUUAAUGAUGGGUGUGCGGCUGAUUAGAUAGUUGGCGGGGUAACGGCCCACCAAGUCUGCGAUCAGUAGCUGAUGUGAGAGCAUGAUCAGACACACGGGAACUGAGACACGGGCCCGACUACUACGGGAGGCAGCAGUAAGGAAUAUUGGUCAAUGGACGCAAGUCUGAACCAGCCAUGCCGCGUGAAGGAUUAAGGUCCUCUGGAUCGUAAACUUCUUUUAUUUGGGACGAAAAAGGGCCUUUCUAGGUCAACUGACGGUACCAGAUGAAUAAGCACCGGCUAACUCCGUGCCAGCAGCCGCCGUAAAAC
rnacentral:rRNA from 1 species